rnacentral:rRNA from 1 species
CGCCUACAUGAAGCCGGAAUCGCUAGUAAUCGUGGAUCAGCAUGCCACGGUGAAUACGUUCCCGGGCCUUGUACACACCGCCCGUCACACCACGAGAGUUUGUAACACCCGAAGUCGGUAGGGUAACCUUUAUGGAGCCAGCCGCCGAAGGUGGGACAGAUAAUUGGGGUGAAGUCGUAACAAGGUAGCCGUAUCGGAAGGUGCGGCUGGAUCACCUCCUUUCUAAGGAA